CCUACGGGAGGCAGCAGUAGGGAAUAUUGGACAAUGGGCGCAAGCCUGAUCCAGCCAUGCCGCGUGGAGGAAGAAGGCCCUCUGGGUUGUAAACUCCUUUUGUCGGGGGAUAAACCACUCCUAUACGGAGUGCUGGAGGUACCCGAAGAAUAAGCACCGGCUAACUCCGUG
rnacentral:rRNA from 1 species